rnacentral:rRNA from 1 species
AUGCACUCAGGUACUUUCCACAUAUGUGGCAAGUGCUCCAGCCAACGAAUGCCAUGGUGUGUAAAGAAUGUUUUCUGGAUGGCCAAUGUGUACAGAAUGUUAAGGGCCAGCUUCUUGGUGUGUCUGGGCUCUCCUUUUCCGGACGGAAUAAUGAGAAAUCUUAAAGCAGAGACAUUCCAGGAAUUUACUUGCGCACACAGGUUUGUGGUUGAUUCUCCUUUCUUUUCCUGGCCAAUCGCACAUCAGAUCUGCUCUUCGAUUUUGUCUGCAUCUGGUGAACUUUUGUCCCUACCCAUGCGAGUGUGA